UACGGGAGGCAGCAGUGGGGAAUAUUGCACAAUGGGCGAAAGCCUGAUGCAGCUAUGCCGCGUGUAUGAAGAAGGCCUUAGGGUUGUAAAGUACUUUUCAUCGGGGAGGAAAAACAAAACUAAUAAUUUUAUUUCUUGACGUUACCCGAAAAAGAAGCACCGGCUAACUCCGUGCCAGCAGCCGCGGUAAUACGGAGGGUGCUAGCGUUAAUCAGAAUUACUGGGCGUAAAGAGCACGUAGGUGGUUUUUUUAAAGUCAGAUGUGAAAUCCCUGGGCUUAACCUAGGAACUGCAUUUUGAAACUGAAAUACUAGAGUAUCGUAGAGGGAGGUAGAAUUCUAGGUGUAGCGGUGAAAUGCGUAGAUAUCUGGAGGAAUACCUGUGGCGAAAGCGGCCUCCUAAACGAAUACUGACACUGAGGUGCGAAAGCGUGGGGAGCAAACAGGAUUAGAUACC
rnacentral:rRNA from 1 species